AGUGAACGCUGGCGGUAGGCCUAACACAUGCAAGUCGAACGGCAGCACAGUAAGAGCUUGCUCUUACGGGUGGCGAGUGGCGGACGGGUGAGGAAUACAUCGGAAUCUACUUUUUCGUGGGGGAUAACGUAGGGAAACUUACGCUAAUACCGCAUACGACCUACGGGUGAAAGCAGGGGAUCUUCGGACCUUGCGCGAUUGAAUGCGCCGAUGUCGGAUUAGCUAGUUGGCGGGGUAAAGGCCCACCAAGGCGACGAUCCGUAGCUGGUCUGAGAGGAUGAUCAGCCACACUGGAACUGAGACACGGUCCAGACUCCUACGGGAGGCAGCAGUGGGGAAUAUUGGACAAUGGGCGCAAGCCUGAUACAGCCAUACCGCGUGGGUGAAGAAGGCCUUCGGGUUGUAAAGACCUUUUGUUGGGAAAGAAAAGCAGCAGGUUAAUACCCCGCUGUUCUGACGGUACCCAAAGAAUAAGCACCGGCUAACUUCGUG
rnacentral:rRNA from 1 species